AUACGGAGGGUGCAAGCGUUGUUCGGAAUUAUUGGGCGUAAAGCGCGUGUAGGCGGUCUGUCAAGUCGGAUGUGAAAUCCCCGGGCUCAACCUGGGAACUGCAUUCGAAACUGGCAGGCUAGAGUCUUGUAGAGGGGGGUAGAAUUCCAGGUGUAGCGGUGAAAUGCGUAGAGAUCUGGAGGAAUACCGGUGGCGAAGGCGGCCCCCUGGACAAAGACUGACGCUCAGGUGCGAAAGCGUGGGGAGCAAACAGGAUUAGAUACCCUGGUAGUCCACGCCGUAAACGAUGUCGAUUUGGAGGUUGUGCCCUUGAGGCGUGGCUUCCGGAGCUAACGCGUUAAAUCGACCGCCUGGGGAGUACGGCCGCAAGGUUAAA
rnacentral:rRNA from 1 species